rnacentral:rRNA from 1 species
GUGCCAGCCGCCGCGGUAAUACGGAAGGUCCGGGCGUUAUCCGGAUUUAUUGGGUUUAAAGGGAGCGCAGGCGGCCUUUUAAGCGUGACGUGAAAUGUGGAUGCUCAACAUCUGAACUGCGUCGCGAACUGGAGGGCUUGAGUGGGUACGACGCCGGCGGAAUUCGUGGUGUAGCGGUGAAAUGCUUAGAUAUCACGAAGAACCCCGAUUGCGAAGGCAGCCGGCGAGUCCUCAACUGACGCUAAAGCUCGAAAGUGCGGGUAUCGAACAGGAUUAGAUACCCUGGUAGUCCGCACGGUAAACGAUGGAUGCCCGCUGUUGGCGAUACAAUGUCAGCGGCCAAGCGAAAGCGUUAAGCAUCCCACCUGGGGAGUACGCCGGCAACGGUGAAACUCAAAGGAAUUGACGGGGGCCCGCACAAGCGGAGGAACAUGUGGUUUAAUUCGAUGAUACGCGAGGAACCUUACCCGGGCUUGAACUGCAGCAGAACGAUUCAGAGAUGAUGAGGCCCUUCGGGGCUGCUGUGGAGGUGCUGCAUGGUUGUCGUCAGCUCGUGCCGUGAGGUGUCGGCUUAAGUGCCAUAACGAGCGCAACCCUUUUCUUCAGUUGCCAUCAGGCGAUGCUGGGCACUCUGGAGACACUGCCACCGUAAGGUGUGAGGAAGGUGGGGAUGACGUCAAAUCAGCACGGCCCUUACGUCCGGGGCUACACACGUGUUACAAUGGGUGAUACAGAUCGUCGGCGUCUGGCAACAGUCGUCCAAUCGCGAAAGUCAUCCUCAGUUCGGAUUGGGGUCUGCAACCCGACCCCAUGAAGCUGGAUUCGCUAGUAAUCGCGCAUCAGCCAUGGCGCGGUGAAUACGUUCCCGGGCCUUGUACACACCGCCCGU